UGCCAGCAGCCGCGGUAAUACAGAGGGUGCAAGCGUUGUUCGGAAUUAUUGGGCGUAAAGCGCGUGUAGGCGGCUUGGCAAGUCGGGUGUGAAAGCCCUCAGCUCAACUGAGGAAGUGCGCCCGAAACUGCUUUGCUUGAGUGCUGGAGAGGGUCGCGGAAUUCCCCAAGUAGAGGUGAAAUUCGUAGAUAUGGGGAGGAACACCGGUGGCGAAGGCGGCGACCUGGACAGUAACUGACACUGAGACGCGAAAGCGUGGGUAGCAAACAGGAUUAGAUA
rnacentral:rRNA from 1 species